GACGUAGGGCGCGAGCGUUGUCCGGAUGUAUUGGGCGUAAAGAGCUCGUAGGCGGCUUGUCGCGUCGUCCGUGAAAACUUGGGGCUCAACCCCAAGCUUGCGGUCGAUACGGGCAGGCUAGAGUUCGGUAGGGGAGACUGGAAUUCCUGGUGUAGCGGUGAAAUGCGCAGAUAUCAGGAGGAACACCGGUGGCGAAGGCGGGUCUCUGGGCCGAUACUGACGCUGAGGAGCGAAAGCGUGGGGAGCGAACAGG
rnacentral:rRNA from 1 species